rnacentral:rRNA from 1 species
AGGGCACCACCAGGAGUGGAGCCUGCGGCUUAAUUUGACUCAACACGGGAAAACUUACCCGGCCCGGACACUGGCAGGAUUGACAGAUUGAGAGCUCUUUCUUGAUUCAGUGGGUGGUGGUGCAUGGCCGUUCUUAGUUGGUGGAGCGAUUUGUCUGGUUAAUUCCGAUAACGAACGAGGCUCUAGCCUACUAAAUAGGCCACCGGCUUACUGACGUCGGUGGGACUUCUUAGAGGGACAGGCGGCGAUUCAGCCGCACGAAACAGAGCAAUAACAGGUCUGUGAUGCCCUUAGAUGUCCGGGGCCGCACGCGCGCUACACUGAAGUGAUCAGCGUGCAUUACAAACCUGCUCCGUCAGGAGUGGGGAACCCAAUGAACCUUCUUCGUGAUUGGGAUAGGGGAUUGUAAUUAUUCCCCUUGAACGAGGAAUUCCCAGUAAGCGCGAGUCAUAAGCUCGCGUUGAUUACGUCCCUGCCCUUUGUACACACCGCCCGUCGCUACUACCGAUUGAAUGAUUU